rnacentral:tRNA from 1 species
GCACUCUGGUCACUCUCGGCAAGAUCAUCUGACUACGGAUCAGAAGGUUAGGGGUCCGAGUCCCUUCGGGCGCGCAA